rnacentral:rRNA from 1 species
AUUGAACGCUGGCGGCAGGCCUAACACAUGCACGUCGAACGAGUGGCGGACGGGUGAGUACUGUCUGGAAAACUGCCUGAUGGAGGGGGAUAACUCCUGGAAACGGUAGCUAAUACCGCAUACCAGACGAUGUGCCCCGAUGGGAUUAGCUAGUUGGUGGGGUAACGGCUCACCAAGGCGACGAACCCUAGCUGGUCUGAGAGGCUGACCAGCCACACUGGAACGGAGACACGUUCCAGACUCCUAAGGGAGGCAGCAGUGGGGAAUAUUUCACAAUGGGCGCAAGCCUGAUGCAGCCAUGCCGCGUGUAUGAAGAAGGCCUUCGGGUUGUAAAGUACUGUCAGCGGGGAGGCGUUACCCGCAGAAGAAGCACCGGCUAACUCCGUGCCAGCAGCCGCGGUAAUUC